GACGAACGCUGGCGGCGUGCUUAACACAUGCAAGUCGAACGGUGAUGCUCCAGCUUGCUGGAGUGGAUCAGUGGCGAACGGGUGAGUAACACGUGAACAACCUGCCCCAGACUCUGGAAUAAGCGCUGGAAACGGCGUCUAAUACUGGAUACGAAACUGGCCCGCAUGGGCAUGGUUUGGAAAGUUUUUCGGUUUGGGAUGGGCUCGCGGCCUAUCAGCUUGUUGGUGAGGUAAUGGCUCACCAAGGCGACGACGGGUAGCCGGCCUGAGAGGGCGACCGGCCACACUGGGACUGAGACACGGCCCAGACUCCUACGGGAGGCAGCAGUGGGGAAUAUUGCACAAUGGGCGAAAGCCUGAUGCAGCGACGCCGCGUGAGGGAUGACGGCCUUCGGGUUGUAAACCUCUUUCAGCAGGGAAGAAGCGAAAGUGACGGUACCUGCAGAAGAAGCACCGGCUAACUACGUG
rnacentral:rRNA from 1 species